UACGUAGGGUGCAAGCGUUACUCGGAAUUACUGGGCGUAAAGCGUGCGCAGGCGGUUUCUUAAGUCAGAUGUGAAAGCCCCGGGCUUAACCUGGGAACUGCGUUUGAAACUGGGAGACUUGAGUGUGGCAGAGGGGGGUGGAAUUCCACGUGUAGCAGUGAAAUGCGUAGACAUGUGGAGGAACACCGAUGGCGAAGGCAGCCCCCUGGGUUAACACUGACGCUCAUGCACGAAAGCGUGGGGAGCAAACAGG
rnacentral:rRNA from 1 species